rnacentral:rRNA from 1 species
CGCGCUAUCUUGCAGUCGAGAGGUGAGGCCCUUCGGAGUACACGAGCGGCGAACGGGUGAGUAACACGUGAGCAACCUGCCCCUGACUCCGGGAUAAGCGGUGGAAACGCCGUCUAAUACCGGAUACGACCCUCCUCCGCAUGGUGGGGGGUGGAAAGUUUUUUCGGUCGGGGAUGGGCUCGCGGCCUAUCAGCUUGUUGGUGGGGUAACGGCCUACCAAGGCGAUUACGGGUAGCCGGCCUGAGAGGGCGACCGGCCACACUGGGACUGAGACACGGCCCAGACUCCUGCGGGAGGCAGCAGUGGGGAAUAUUGCGCAAUGGGCGAAAGCCUGACGCAGCGACGCCGCGUGGGGGAUGACGGCCUUCGGGUUGUAAACCUCUUUUACCACUCACGCAGGCCCCACGUUUUCGUGGGGUUGACGGUAGGUGGGGAAUAAGGACCGGCUAACUACGUGCCAGCAGCCGCGGUAAUACGUAGGGUCCGAGCGUUGUCCGGAAUUAUUGGGCGUAAAGAGCUCGUAGGCGGCGUGUCGCGUCUGCUGUGAAAGACGGGGGCUUACCCCGGUUCUGCAGUGGAUACGGGCAUGCUAGAGGUAGGUAGGGGGAGACUGGAAUUCCCUGGUGUAGCGGUGAAAAUGCGCAGAUAUCAGGAGGAACACCGGUGGCGAAAGCGGGUCUCUGGCCCUUACCUGACGCUGAGGACGAAAGCAUGGGGAGCGAACAGGAUUAGAUACCCUGGUAGUCCAUGCCGUAACGUGGGGCGCUAAGUGUGGG